CCAAUAUAUAUGACCCACAGCAACUCAAAUUUGCGCAUUAACCACAAAAAUGAUCCAACCUUUUGGUGGAGUAAUGUUAGGAUUGAAAAAAACCCGAUUCAAAACUGGACUUGUAAAGUAUAACCACACACAGUCCAGGCAAUCACCAAUCAGCAUUCGAUCCAAAACGAACCAACAACGACAAUGAUCUGCCCCUACGCGACCAUAUGAAAUUGCAUUCAGACGCUCGCGAAGCCCGAGCUCUUACCUUCUUUUGCAGCUGAGAAAUCGACUCGUGCAUGAGCUGGUUCUGCAUAAGAUAAAAGAAAGAAGAAAGAGUCAAAAAGAAGGAAAGGGAUUCUCAUUUGCA